GAAAUGCGAUAAGUAGUGUGAAUUGCAGAAUUCAGUGAAUCAUCGAAUCUUUGAACGCACAUUGCGCCCUUUGGUAUUCCUUAGGGCAUGCCUGUUCGAGCGUCAUCUAAACCUUCAAGCCCUGCUUGGUGUUGGGUGCCUGUCCCGCCUCCGCGCGCGGACUCACCUCAAAUCCAUUGGCGGCCCCCGCGUCGGCCACGAGCGCAGCAGAAACGCGAACUCGUGAGCCCGUCCGGGCGGCUCCCAGAAGCUACACCCACCCAGUUUGACCUCGGAUCAGAUAGGGAUACCCGCUGAACUUAAGC
rnacentral:misc_RNA from 1 species